CCCAGGUUCAGGGAAGAGAACUUUGUUGUAUUGAUCUGCCAAUUCAGAGACAGUCUGCCCUAUGACUCAGGAAAGGAAGCCUCGUCCCUUUUCAGAAGACACAACCCGAGGCCUCCUGGAAUAUUCUGAGACUAUCCUGUUCUCACGCUGAGAAGACUUAUGUCCCUGGGUUGAAACAGGCCCCUGGGUUGGUAAUGUGUCAAGAAGCAACUUUUUAUGAUGACUGGCCCUGUCCAAAUUUAUUUGCAGAAACUCAAAAAGAUCAGAAGGAUGAGGACAGAGAUGAGCCAACCGCCCCCAGCUGGGAGCUGCAGGAGGAGGAGGAAAUGGAUGAUGCGUGUCAGGAUUCUUUGGAUGAAAAGUAUUUGGCUCUUUCCAGUCACCAUGACUUGUCUGACUCCUGCCACCCUCCCGACAGUCCCACCCUCCCAUCUGAUGAGCAUGAAAUCUGCUCUCGUCUGGAUGGAGCCCAAAGUCAUGAAGACGAGGAGUAUGUGGAAGAGAGAGAACCACUGUCCAAAAUGAACGACCAGGGGAGGGUAAAGGACAGGUAAAGUAUGGAAAGGGUCCUAGAAAGAUCAAGGAGCACAAAGGUGACCACAUCUGUGAUGCGAUGGUCACCCAAACCUGCAGAUUGCAGUCCUGUCAUUCCCUCAACCAACAACGACAUAGCCCUCUGAAUGGGGCUGUGCAGUCUCCUUCUGGUACUUGUAGAGUUAGUCUGAACCAAGGUGAACCAACUACUCUCAUGGAUUUCCUGUACUCCCGGACAUCACGUGUCCUCUCAUGGAUGGUGGGUUAAAGGCAGGGUGAGAUUCACAUCCGCUUUCUGCAGAGUUCAUCUUAGGUCGUUGGCAGGUAUUUCACAGCAGGGAAGGUAACUAGACCCCCGAAAGUGGUAUUA
rnacentral:lncRNA from 1 species